rnacentral:rRNA from 1 species
AGUCAAGUAAUUAAGUGCAUGUGGUGGAUGCCUUGGCAGUCAGAGGCGAUGAAAGACGUGAUAGCCUGCGAAAAGCUCCGGGGAGGCGGCAAAUAUCCUUUGAUCCGGAGAUGUCUGAAUGGGGGAACCCACCUACUUUAAGGUAGGUAUUGCAACAUGAAUACAUAGUGUUGCAAGGCGAACGAGGGGAAGUGAAACAUCUCAGUACCCUUAGGAAAAGAAAUCAAUUGAGAUUCCCUCAGUAGCGGCGAGCGAACGGGGAUCAGCCCAUUAAGUUAUGUGUGUUUUAGUGGAACGCUCUGGGAAGUGCGAACGUAGAGGGUGAUAUUCCCGUACACGAAAGGGCACACAUAAUGAUGACGAGUAGGGCGAGGCACGUGAAACCUUGUCUGAAUAUGGGGGGACCAUCCUCCAAGGCUAAAUACUCCUGACUGACCGAUAGUGAACCAGUACCGUGAGGGAAAGGCGAAAAGAACCCCUGUGAGGGGAGUGAAAUAGAUCCUGAAACCGCAUGCAUACAAGCAGUGGGAGCACCUUCGUGGUGUGACUGCGUACCUUUUGUAUAAUGGGUCAGCGACUUAUAUUCAGUAGCGAGGUUAACCGUAUAGGGGAGCCGUAGAGAAAUCGAGUCUUAAUAGGGCGUUUAGUUGCUGGGUAUAGACCCGAAACCAGGCGAUCUAUCCAUGAGCAGGUUGAAGGUUGGGUAACACUAACUGGAGGACCGAACCCACUGUCGUUGAAAAGCCAGGGGAUGACUUGUGGAUAGGGGUGAAAGGCUAAUCAAGCCUGGUGAUAGCUGGUUCUCCCCGAAAGCUAUUUAGGUAGCGCCUCGGACGAAUACCAUAGGGGGUAGAGCACUGUUUCGGCUAGGGGGUCAUCCCGACUUACCAAACCGAUGCAAACUCCGAAUACCUAUGAGUACUAUCCGGGAGACAGACUGCGGGUGCUAACGUCCGUAGUCAAGAGGAAAACAAUCCAGACCGCCAGCUAAGGCCCCAAAAUCAUAGUUAAGUGGGAAACGAUGUGGGAAGGCAUAGACAGCUAGGAGGUUGGCUUAGAAGCAGCCACCCUUUAAAGAAAGCGUAAUAGCUCACUAGUCGAGUCGGCCUGCGCGGAAGAUGUAACGGGGCUAAAACUAUGUGCCGAAGCUGCGGAUGUAUACUUUGUAUACGUGGUAGGGGAGCGUUCUGUAAGCCGAUGAAGGUGUGUUGAGAAGCAUGCUGGAGGUAUCAGAAGUGCGAAUGCUGACGUGAGUAACGACAAAACGGGUGAAAAACCCGUUCGCCGAAAGACCAAGGGUUCCAGUCCAACGUUAAUCGGGGCUGGGUGAGUCGACCCCUAAGGCGAGGCCGAAAGGCGUAGUCGAUGGGAAAAUGGUUAAUAUUCCAUUACUUCUGUGUAAUGCGAUGAGAGGACGGAGAAGGCUAA